UACGGGGGGUGCAAGCGUUAAUCGGAAUGACUGGGCGUAAAGGGUGCGUAGGUGGUUAAUUAAGUUAUGGGUGAAAUCAUCGGGCUCAACCUGGUGCUGAAUCAUAAAACUGAAUAACUCGAGUAUAGUAGAGGGUAGUGGAAUUUCCGGUGUAGCGGUGAAAUGCGUAGAUAUCUGGAGGAAUACCGGUGGCGAAGGCGGCAUCCUGGACCGGCAUUGACGCUGAGGAGCGAAAGCCAGGGGAGCAAACGGG
rnacentral:rRNA from 1 species